UCACCAUCCACACACGCCUUACCAGGACUAAACAGCGUGGCUAAAAAACAGUCCUUCAUACCUGAUCUGGAGGGUAGAUCAGGAAUACUAUACUCA
ncrna:unclassified sequences PhotoRC-II RNA